AGUGAACGCUGGCGGUAGGCCUAACACAUGCAAGUCGAACGGCAGCACAGUAAGAGCUUGCUCUUACGGGUGGCGAGUGGCGGACGGGUGAGGAAUACAUCGGAAUCUACUUUUUCGUGGGGGAUAACGUAGGGAAACUUACGCUAAUACCGCAUACGACCUACGGGUGAAAGCAGGGGAUCUUCGGACCUUGCGCGAUUGAAUGAGCCGAUGUCGGAUUAGCUAGUUGGCGGGGUAAAGGCCCACCAAGGCGACGAUCCGUAGCUGGUCUGAGAGGGUGAUCAGCCACACUGGAACUGAGACACGGUCCAGACUCCUACGGGAGGCAGCAGUGUGGAAUAUUGGACAAUGGGCGCAAGCCUGAUCCAGCCAUACCGCGUGGGUGAAGAAGGCCUUCGGGUUGUAAAGCCCUUUUGUUGGGAAAGAAAAGCAGCAUGUUAAUACCCCGCUGUUCUGACGGUACCCAAAGAAUAAGCACCGGCUAACUUCGUG
rnacentral:rRNA from 1 species